rnacentral:rRNA from 1 species
CCUACGGGGUGCAGCAGUGAGGAAUAUUGGUCAAUGGACGAGAGUCUGAACCAGCCAAGUAGCGUGAAGGAUGACUGCCCUAUGGGUUGUAAACUUCUUUUAUAUGGGAAUAAAAUGUUCCACGUGUGGGAUUUUGUAUGUACCAUAUGAAUAAGGAUCGGCUAACUCCGUGCCAGCAGCCGCGGUAAUACGGAGGAUCCGAGCGUUAUCCGGAUUUAUUGGGUUUAAAGGGAGCGUAGGUGGAUUGUUAAGUCAGUUGUGAAAGUUUGCGGCUCAACCGUAAAAUUGCAGUUGAGACUGGCAGUCUUGAGUACAGUAGAGGUGGGCGGAAUUCGUGGUGUAGCGGUGAAAUGCUUAGAUAUCACGAAGAACUCCGAUUGCGAAGGCAGUUCACUGGACUGCAACUGACACUGAGGCUCGAAAGUGUGGGUAUCAAACAGGAUUAGAUACCCGGGUAGUC